CCAAAAGGUGACCCUGGAGCAGUGGGUGAACCAGGUCCAAUGGGACUACCAGGACUGGAGGGACUUCCAGGAGAGAAGGGAGAUCGUGGCCCAUCAGGUCCUCCAGGAAUACCAGGAAUACCCG